rnacentral:lncRNA from 1 species
GAGAUAAUUCUAUUCGAGGAGUGAAUUCUAGUAAUAAAUUGUGAGUGGAUGUAAUCCCAAUAUAGAUGAAUAAGAAAAUACAAAAAGUAAUCAAGGUUUUUUAAAAGAAUCACCUAAUAGACCUGGAAACAUUGGAUGACAAAGUUAAGGGAAGGAAGAGGGAGUGGCAACGAAAGACCUCUUGAAAAAAGAUGGCAUUUGAGGUAAGUACUGAUGGAAGCCAAGAAUUCAAAGGAGAAGAAGGAGAGCAUUCUAGACAAGUGGGAAAGCAUAGAGAAGAGAGAAUCACAUAUGCAGCAAGUAGAGUGAUAGAGCUGGACCAUGGAAUAUGUAACGGAAAGCCAUCUAUAAAAAGACUGGAAAGAUUUCAUCUGUGGAUUUCUCUGGACCAACAUCAGUGUUUCCCCUCUGAGAAACAUAUGUGUCUUAGUGGCAAUAGACAUGGGAAGAAGAUCAAUAUGAUUGUCAAAGUCUGCAUAAAGGUGAUUCCUGGAUGGAAGCCAUCAUUCUCCUGAGAUCCCUAUAUACAUGGUUAGAAACUAUGAGUAUAUUAAAAGUACUAAUGACAGCAUGAAUACAAGUUUUUGUUCUGAGCAAUAUAUAUUCUUAUUCCUUGAAUAAAUUCACAGGUAUAUUUAAGGUUUCCA